AGCAAUGCAAGAACUGGAAAUGAGCCAUGGAUCUGAACAAAUAAUAAUCCAAGGGAGCUAGGUCCAGACUAUAUGUUGGGUGUUGGAUCACUUCGAGUUCCUUA